rnacentral:rRNA from 1 species
GGAUUGCAGGCUGNAACCCGCCUGCAUGAAGUCGGAAUUGCUAGUAGUCGCGGAUCAGCAUGCCGCGGUGAAUACGUUCCCGGGCCUUGUACACACCGCCCGUCACACCAUGAGAGCCGGUAACACCCGAAGUCAGGAGCCUAACCGCAAGGAGGGCGCUGCCGAAGGUGGGAUUGGUAAUUGGGGUGAAGUCGUAACAAGGUAUC